UACGUAGGCAGCGAGCGUUGUUCGGAGUUACUGGGCGUAAAGGGUGCGCAGGCGGUGGAGCAAGUCUGUUGUGAAAUCUCCCGGCUUAACCGGGAGGGUGCGGCGGAAACUGUUCUGCUGGAGUGAGGGAGAGGCAAGCGGAAUUCCUGGUGUAGCGGUGAAAUGCGUAGAUAUCAGGAGGAACACCGGUGGCGAAGGCGGCUUUCUGGACAGAAACUGACGCUGAUGCGCGAAAGCUAGGGGAGCAAACGGG
rnacentral:rRNA from 1 species